rnacentral:lncRNA from 1 species
GAUGGGGAGCAAUUGAGCGAUGAUUGUCUUUAUGCACCAAUGAUUCAACAAGCGUAACUUUAUUUAGUAUUGUUUCAAUAGGUAGUGGUCAAUGUGUGAACGCAGAUACACGCGUAAGUUUUGCUAUUUUUAGUACGAAUUCAAUAGUUGUGGUAACAAUUUCAUUGAACGUUACAAAACAUGAACUUCAAUCUGUGGUGGACAUGAAAUAAUAACGUGGUACUUUACUUACUAUAUAGAUAUAGAACAACAAUUAAUUAAUUUUACUUUGA